AUUGAACGCUGGCGGCAGGCCUAACACAUGCAAGUCGAGCGGAUGAAGGGAGCUUGCUCCUGGAUUCAGCGGCGGACGGGUGAGUAAUGCCUAGGAAUCUGCCUGGUAGUGGGGGAUAACGUCCGGAAACGGGCGCUAAUACCGCAUACGUCCUGAGGGUGAAAGUGGGGGAUCUUCGGACCUCACGCUAUCAGAUGAGCCUAGGUCGGAUUAGCUAGUUGGUGGGGUAAAGGCCUACCAAGGCGACGAUCCGUAACUGGUCUGAGAGGAUGAUCAGUCACACUGGAACUGAGACACGGUCCAGACUCCUACGGGAGGCAGCAGUGGGGAAUAUUGGACAAUGGGCGAAAGCCUGAUCCAGCCAUGCCGCGUGUGUGAAGAAGGUCUUCGGAUCGUAAAGCACUUUAAGUUGGGAGGAAGGGCAGUAAGUUAAUACCUGGCUGUUUUGACGGUACCAACAGAAUAAGCACCGGCUAACUUCGUG
rnacentral:rRNA from 1 species